rnacentral:rRNA from 1 species
AAUCAACGCUGGCGGCGUGCCUCAGACAUGCAAGUCGAACGCGAAAUCUCCCUUCGGGGAGAAAGUAGAGUGGCGCACGGGAGAGUAACACGUAGGUAAUCUACCUUCGGAUGGGGAAUAACCCCGGGAAACCGGGGCUAAUACCGCAUAAUGCAGCGGCACCUAAUGGUGACAGUUGUUAAAGCGGGGGAUUGAAAGACCUCGCGUCUGAAGAGGAGCCUGCGGCGGAUUAGCUAGUUGGUAGGGUAAAGGCUUACCAAGGCGACGAUCCGUAGCCGGCCUGAGAGGGCGGUCGGCCACACUGACACUGACAUACGGGUCAGACUCCUACGGGAGGCAGCAGUCGGGAAUUUUGGGCAAUGGGCGAAAGCCUGACCCAGCAACGCCGCGUGAAGGAUGAAAUCCCUCGGGAUGUAAACUUCGCAAGAACGGGAAGAAUAAGUCGGGGUUAAUACCCCCGGCGAUGACGGUACCGUUUGUAAGCUCCGGCUAACUCCGUGCCAGCAGCCGCGGUAAUACGGGGGGAGCAAGCGUUGUUC